AUUGAACGCUGGCGGCAGGCCUAACACAUGCAAGUCGAGCGGCGGCGGGAAGUAGCUUGCUACUUUGCCGGCGAGCGGCGGACGGGUGCGUAAUGUCUGGGAAACCGCCUGAUGGAGGGGGAUAACUACUGGAAACGGUAGCUAAUACCGCAUAACGUCGCAAGACCACAGAGGGGGACCUUCGGGCCUGUUGCCAGCACAUGUGCCCAGGUGGGAUUAGCUAGUAGGUGGGGUAAUGGCUCACCUAGGCGACGAUCCCUAGCUGGGCGGAGAGAAUGACCAGGCACACUGGAUCUGAGACACGGUCCAGACUCCUACGGGAGGCAGCAGUGGGGAAUAUUGCACAAGGGGCGCAAGCCUGAUGCAGCCAUGCCGCGUGUAUGAAGAAGGCCUUCGGGUUGUAAAGUACUUUCAGCGGGGAGGAAGGUGUUGAGGUUAAUAACCUCAGCAAUUGACGUUACCCGCAGAAGAAGCACCGGCUAACUCCGUGCCAGCCGCCGCAGUAA
rnacentral:rRNA from 1 species